GGGGGGGCAAGCGUUGUUCGGAAUUACUGGGCGUAAAGGGCGCGCAGGCGGGCGGGAAAGUCUCUCGUGAAAUCCCACGGCUCAACCGUGGAACUGCGGGAGAUACUACUCGUCUUGAGUUCGGGAGAGGAGUGUGGAAUUCCCAGUGUAGCGGUGAAAUGCGUAGAUAUUGGGAGGAACACCGGUGGCGAAGGCGGCACUCUGGACCGGUACUGACGCUGAGGCGCGAAAGCUAGGGGAGCAAACGGGAUUAGAUACCCCGGGUAGUCCUAGCUGUAAACGCUGAGCACUUGGUGUAGCGGGUAUCGACCCCCCUGCUGUGCCGAAGCUAACGCAUUAAGUGCUCCGCCUGGGGGAGUACGGUCGCAAGGCUG
rnacentral:rRNA from 1 species